GGCCCUAUCGUCUAACGGUCAGGACGCUAGGUUCUCAACCUAGUAAUAGGGGUUCGAUUCCCCUUAGGGCUG
rnacentral:tRNA from 1 species